rnacentral:rRNA from 1 species
UCGUGGAUUGAUUUGUCUGGUCUAUUCCGCUAACGAGCGAGAACCUACCCUCUCGUGGUUAGGCCCCUGGGCAUGCUGGAGCUGCUUCGGUGGCACCGGCUGAAAACGCCCUUGGGUUCGAUCCGGAGGGACCGUCUUCGACAAGGUGAUGGCAGCAGGUCAAUAACA